UACGUAGGUGGCAAGCGUUGUCCGGAUUUACUGGGCGUAAGAGCGACGCAGGCGGUCGUCCAAGUCGAAUGUGAAAGCCCCGGCUCAACUGGGGAGGGUCAUUCGAUACUGUUCGACUCGAAGGCAGGAGAGGGAAGUGGAAUUCCGGGUGUAGGCGGUGAAAUGACGUAGAUAUCCGGAGGAACACCGGUGGCGAAGGCGGCUCCUGGACCGACACUGACGCUGAGGCGC
rnacentral:rRNA from 1 species